UUUGAGUCUGUAUCUGGCCCAAAUAGAACGGCAUAAUCGAUAAAACAAAGUUCGUCUCUCCUCUUCUCUCUGCGUGUGACGGCGAUUUGGUGACCUUUGCGCUUCAUCUCGCUAGCUGAAACGGUUCGAGUGAUGGUAUUCAAUCAAUGCAUCCACUUUCUCAUCAUCAAUGAAGAUAUCUUGCCUCCCCCCAUUAACCGCAGCUACUGUAUAUUAUAUGGUGUCAAGGUUCUCAAGAGAAAUUACAUAUUUUUUUCGAACAGAGGAGUCGGAGAGCAUCACCGGCGUCGUCUUCUUCCACAUACGGUGGUAAAAUCAAGAUCUUUGAUUGUCGCUAAAAUCCCAGUCUACCUUCGUCCAAGAUUCUACCGGGGCUCAUUGACUCAAAACUUUGAAGCACCUGCUGAAGGAAGGUGCCAUCUGUGAGCUACGCGUAUUCAACUUCACACGAAGUAACGACCACUUCAAAUCCACUGACUCACCAGUUUCCCUUUGCUUCAACAACCAGACCAAAUUUGUGGAGCUUAUGAAGACUACUGUCUUUAUUCUACAGAAAAGUUCAGGUUUCAUAAAUAUAAGCAGCUCAUACAAACGUGGAUUUUCCGAGUAUUUGUUUCUGAUCUUGGUUUUUCACGUCAAUGACAUUUUUUGGGUUUAAUAAUUGUGCAUCCGUAUUCAACCUUUGUUACCAAAAUUUUCUGCAGAAAUUUUUCGAGUUGUUUGUGGCAUCAGGAACACCUACAACGAAGAAUUUCAGGUCAUCAAACGUAUUAUUCAAUAACCCGACACUACUUCAUUGUGACGAAGGACAGCUUCCAGCUAAUUAAAUUCUUAAUUCUUGGAAAAUUUUAAAGAUCUUUUCUUCUUGACUACUAGACUUGUAUAUCUGUUGUUUCAUCCUUAAGACGUUUGGAGAACACAUAGCUAGCAAGACAAAAACUGAACCAAGAUUUAGACACUAUACACACCUAUGUUUAUGCUUUGUAUCCAUCCAUUCUCUGCUCUACAAACCUGGACUUACAAAUAUAGCUUGAAUUGCCAUUUGUCAGAUUCACUAAGAUCCACAAACACUUUUUCAUUACCAAAGUUAGUUUUCUCAAACUUAAGAUUGUCAAUACACCCCAACUUUACCGACAAUUCUGAAUGGUAAAUAAUCAACAACAUCAAGUGUAUACAUUUGAACAUUAAUACUUUCUUAUUCUUGCAUAAAGCUUCUCUGAAAGCCAUCACAAGAGGCUCAAAAACAGCUCUCUGUUAUAUCAGUGAGAACGGUAGAAAAAUCUGCAGAGACUACCUGUAUGAAAGCUGAUGCAGAGAAAAGAAAUUUGAAGCAAUGGAAGUUCAGAAAGUGGAAGAGGUAUUCGUUUCAGAAUUUUCUUAUUUGUAGCUUGGAUUUUGAAACUGAGAUUAUGCUUAAUGACUUCUGUGGGAAAUCACGUAGUGAACAAAAAAAAAUCUUUUUCCACACGGCAGGACCGGCCCUGAGCAAUGCGUCAUGAAACAUUUGCAACAGGCCCCCGAAAUUUUUGAAGAAAAUUACAUAGACAUAAGCCCCCAAAAUUUUUUUUAAGCCUCCAAAUUGUUUUUUUACAUAGAUAGUGCAACAGGUCCCCAAAAUCUGAGGGCCGGCCCUGCACACGGUCAGCUAGAGAAAAGUUGUUGAUUGAGGUAUUUAAAGUUUAAGCAGCAAAAUUAUAGAGGUAUGGAACAGAUAUGAGAACACUACAAACGGAAAAAAAAAAUCAACAACCAUUUGGUAA